rnacentral:rRNA from 1 species
AUUGAACGCUGGCGGCAUGCCUUACACAUGCAAGUCGAACGGUAACAGGUCUUCGGACGCUGACGAGUGGCGAACGGGCGAGUAAUGCAUCGGAACGUGCCCAGUCCUGGGGGAUAACUGCUCGAAAGAGCAGCUAAUACCGCAUACGACCUGAGGGUGAAAGCGGGGGACCGUAAGGCCUCGCGCGAUUGGAGCGGCCGAUGUCAGAUUAGCUAGUUGGUGGGGUAAAGGCCUACCAAGGCAACGAUCUGUAGUUGGUCUGAGAGGACGACCAGCCACACUGGGACUGAGACACGGCCCAGACUCCUACGGGAGGCAGCAGUGGGGAAUGUUGGACAAUGGGCGCAAGCCUGAUCCAGCAAUGCCGCGUGCAGGAAGAAGGCCUUCGGGUUGUAAACUGCUUUUGUCAGGGAAGAAAUCUUCUGGGCUAAUACCCCGGGAGGAUGACGGUACCUGAAGAAUAAGCACCGGCUAACUACGUG